rnacentral:rRNA from 1 species
GAUGAACGCUGGCGGCGUGCCUAAUACAUGCAAGUCGAGCGAAUGGAUUAAGAGCUUGCUCUUAUGAAGUUAGCGGCGGACGGGUGAGUAACACGUGGGUAACCUGCCCAUAAGACUGGGAUAACUCCGGGAAACCGGGGCUAAUACCGGAUAACAUUUUGAACCGCAUGGUUCGAAAUUGAAAGGCGGCUGCGGCUGUCACUUAUGGAUGGACCCGCGUAGCAUUAGCUAGUUGGUGAGGUAACGGCUAACCAAGGCAACGAUGCGUAGCCGACCUGGGAGGGUGAUCGGCCAAACUGGGACUGAGACACGGCCCAGACUCCUACGGGAGGCAGCAGUAGGGAAUCUUCCGCAAUGGACGAAAGUCUGACGGAGCAACGCCGCGUGAGUGAUGAAGGCUUUCGGGUCGUAAAACUCUGUUGUUAGGGAAGAACAAGUGCUAGUUGAAUAAGCUGGCACCUUGACGGUACCUAACCAGAAAGCCACGGCUAACUACGUGCCAGCAGCCGCAGUAA